rnacentral:lncRNA from 1 species
CCCACCUCACAAUGAUAUGAUGUUGGCUAGCAUCAAUAAUAAUGAGAGAGUACAUUUACUCAUUUGCAUCUCUUGCAAGUACCCAUUUUAUUUGGCCUCUAGAGAAUGAAGUCUCACAAUGAUAUAAUGUUGGCUCCAUUGCACUUAAUUAAGUCAUUCCCACCAUGCAAGUUCGAGUAGGGGUUUAAGAACAACCUCACAAUGAUAUGAUGUUGAUAAAUCUCGUUGCCUACCUUCACAACAUAAUGUAUGCAUAUAGAACUCCUCCUGAGUGUAAGCACGCACUUUGUACUCCCCCAUGAUAGGGUGAAGUCGGUGUACGAGUCACAAAUGAUUGGAGCCUACCACGGUGGAAGGCCACGAAAGAGUGUUCAAAGCACUCUCACGCUUAUCAACUUAAUAAUGGUUUGGUUGAGAGUUUUAGGUCUCAUCACAUAUAAGCAUGCAUUUUAAUCUUAUUAAAACAAUUUGGUCCUAUUACAACUAUUGGUCUAUGUGAUUGAUUUAGUUGUAUAUAAUACUCCCACUAUGCUUGUAAAAUGGUUUUUAAAGUAAGAGUAUAUGGUACUACUAACAUAAGGUUUGCAUUCAUUGAUGGACUAUAUAGUUGCCUUAGGGCCUUAAGAUGACUAUGAACCUUUGAUUAGAUCCAACACGAGCCUAGUGUUGGAUCUCGGUCUAGGGAUGGUGAUUGAUCCACCAUGAGUGACACCUAGCAGUAUGUCAUGGUUAUCCAAGCUAAUCAGAAGAGGUGGAAAACCUAUUCAGUUUAGGAUUACAAUGCAAUACGGUCUUUCUCUAAUACAAUACUCUUGACCACAUUGUUUGGUUUGAUAGUUUAAUCAUGUCUACUAUCCAAUAUGAUUCAUUUACUUAUAUGAUUACCUUGAAUGUGAUUUGGAACGACUUCCUAAAUCUCAUUCAUACUUUGGCCAGAGAUUCUUAAUCAUAUCAUAGAGUAUUCUCCCUAAAACGGUUUGAAGGUUAGAGAUCCCUUAUUGCGCAUUCACUUGCCUCCAUGGCUAAGUGGCUUAACCCCAACUAUGCCGUGGACACCCUCUGAUAGAGUGACUUUGACAUAGUCAAAGAUCAAGGACCUAACCACAAGACAACUAUGAUGCCUCAUGUCAAAUGACUACUUUGCAUUAUCCCAACCAUGAGUUCUCAUGUGACAUGAGUAUGAGAACUCCUCGUUGAUCGU